rnacentral:rRNA from 1 species
UACGAAGGGGGCUAGCGUUGUUCGGAAUUACUGGGCGUAAAGCGCACGUAGGCGGAUCGAUCAGUCAGGGGUGAAAUCCCAGGGCUCAACCCUGGAACUGCCUUUGAUACUGUCGAUCUGGAGUAUGGAAGAGGUGAGUGGAAUUCCGAGUGUAGAGGUGAAAUUCGUAGAUAUUCGGAGGAAUACCAGUGGCGAAGGCGGCUCACUGGCCCGGAACUGACGCUGAGACGCGAAAGCGUGGGGAGCAAACAGG